AAGAGUCUUGGGAUGGCUGAAGAGGUAAGAACAUUCUAUAAGACUUGUCCAAAGAACUGACUGUUUAAUGAUUCUGAAUAUGCUAGUUCAGAGAGAAUCUAUUUACCACAAACCUGAAGUAGGCUUAAAUUUCCAGUUUACCUGAAUGGUUAUGACCUAAUUAGAGGAAUGACUUUAUAAACAUAUAUAGAUACAAAUAUAUAGUGUAUAUUUAUUAUAUACUAUAUAUUUAUUAUAUAUUAUAUAAGCAUAAAAUGUAAUAGAUUAUUGUAUAUAUUUAAUAACAUAUUAUUACAUAUUUUAAUAUAUAAUAUAUAAAAUGUAUUAUAUUUAAUAUAUAAUGCAUGUAAUAUAUAAAUAUACAUUAUAUAUUAUAUAUUAUGUAAUAAAUAUAUAUUAUGUAUAUACACAUUUAUCUAGACUUUAUUACAUAUUUCAUUAUAUAUUUUAUAAGAUUUCUAUAAAUAAUAUUCCCAUCAUUACUAAAAUAUUUUUUAAAAAUUAGCCAUACCUUAGAAGCAUUAUAAAAAAUAUAUGACAUGGUCCAUCUGUUCAACUGUAGCCAUCUAACCAUUUGAGAAGUUUUUAUAAGAUUUAUAGCAUUUGAUUGUACCAUGACAUAAAUCAUCUCAUGCAAGAUAGUGUAUUUGUUUUGUUGGCUUUAAUAUGUUCCCUUUUCUUCAGAAAAUGUGAGACAGCUUAAAAUAAAAUUAACUAUAAGAAACUGGUAAACACUGAAUGAAAGAAGAAAACCAAGCAGAAAAGUAAAAGGAGGUUACAAAUAAAUUUAUAUUUUAAAAACAUUUUUUAUUUGCCUGGCAAAUAAUAAGUGCAUAUAUUAAUGGAUACAAUAAUAAUAUAUAAUAUAAAUAUAUAAUAUAUAUAAUAUGUUAUGGGAUACAAUGUGAUGUUUGAUCUAUAUAUACAUUGUAGAGAGAGUCUAUCAAGCUAAUUAGCAUAUGAAUCACCUUCCAACUUUUUUUGUGGUGAGAACAUAAAAUAUUUAUUUUUUAGCAAUUUUUAAUUUAAAUACAUAAUAUAUUAUUAACUGUGUUCACUAUGCAGUGUGAGAGAUCACUAAAACUUAUUCCUCUAGUCUAACUGAAGAUCAACUUCUUUCCCUUCCCAUCCCUCCUCUACACUCUCAGUCAGCCUAUGGAACCAUCUUUCUAUUCCCGUUUUUAUGAAAUCAACUUUUUAAAAAAUUCAUCCUUAAAUAUAUUAAAAUGAACAGUUAAAUUUAUGAGGAUAAAUAAUUAAAACUAUUACACAUAUUUUAAGUUGUCCUCUGAAAAUUCUAGAAUUCUACUUCAAUACCCUUAUUUUUAAGAUAAAGGAAAUUGUAAAGGCUUUCUAAGAAAUCGAGUACCCAUACCUAGGCUGCUAGACUCCAGGUCCAAUUUUUCUCCAGGGGGUUACUAUGGCUUCAGGGAAGCUAUCUAUAAUCACCAUCUCCAGAACAUCUCUCACUUUCUCAUCACCACACAGUGGAAUAAGAAUAGUUUUGGCAGCAAUAAAAAAGUAAUGCCAUAUCAAAUUAGUAAAGCCUUCAGAAAAAGUAUGAAUAUUACACAGUUACACUUAUAUUAGAACUAAAAUUUAUUUAUUGAAAUUCACAUUACCAUAAUUAUUUAUGUCUGAUUAAAUGUUAUUAAAGCUAAAAUUUUGAAUUUAUAUACUACUAUUAAUUUCCAGUUCUAUCUUUCUGUUCAAGAAAAGAAUGUGAGAAGUAAAUUAGUGCCUCAAAUUUGCCUACUUCAUCCCCAACAGAGGAGAUCAUGACUAUAUCAAUAAUGGAGCCUGGGCCCAGACAACUGGUUAAGAGAGAGGUCAUUCUGACCUCAGAACAUAGGAGAGAUGGAUAUUGUACACCACAGAGUCCAGGAUGACUAGCAGUGAAGGAUUCAAAUGCCUGGCGAAAUCUCCUAUACAACCGGAGAGACCCAAGUCCCCAAAGACAAGAAGGGAUGAUGAAAUGGCCUCUGCAUGACAUGACUUGCCUAUGAGCCCUCCCAUUGCUAUAAGGAUGGGGAUCUUAGCACAGUGCCUUGUGUGAACAGUAAUGCUAGCCUUGAUUUUACCAUGGCAAGUUUGUUUAGGGAAAAAUUCAACCCACCCAUUGAAAUUCCAACCUCAACCAAAUGAGGGAUGGCUGGGGAUGCAACCACAAAGAUACUGUAUCUUAGGAGGGGAGUUUUUUUUUUUUAUAGAAACUCGUCAGGAUAUUAUUGCUAGGAUGUGUUGUUACUGGGAAAAAAGCUGAUGGAAUACAAAAGAGUAGACAUCCCCACAGGGAUUAUUUGAGGCAAUCAGUGACUAACAUGACCACUUUGCUUUCUCUAUGCAGGUGUCAUCUAUUGUGAUAUAGUGCCAGGAGGUUGCCUUUGCUGUGGCUUUCGACCCUAGAUUUUUAAAUUGUGUGACAAACCCAUCUUUUAUUUAUGUAAAUAAAAUGUCCGUGUUUAUUGGUUAUUGUUAUAUUGUGAAAUUGUAGUAGAUCUAAAAUUGUAAUUUCUUGGAUUCCUAGAAUUUCUAAAUCUGUGGAUUUUUAGAAUUCUCUAGAGGUGACAAAGGUUUAUUAUCUAAGCUACCGGAGCUAUGUACUUUUGGAUAUAAGAGUGUCUCCAUCUCCAUUGCCUUACAAAUCAGGUGUGAGCCAGGCAUGUCUCUCAGACUGGAAAAGGUAACUAAUCAGAAGGAACCAUUGUCCUAGAAUGGGGCAAGUGUACAAUACCCAGAAAGACCACUGGUGCCGUAGCAUAUAACAUAUUCACUCAAUCCUUCAUACCCUUUGUAUCGUUUUUUUUCUGUUUUAUUUAUUUUAUUUAUUUAUUAGAGAUCAUAGUGUG
rnacentral:lncRNA from 1 species